AAUACAUCAGAUUUCUCAGUUAAUUUGCCACUUGAAGCAUAUUCAGGGGCCAUGUAUCCAAAAGUCCCCAUAACACGUGUGGUAACAUGUGUAUUUGCAUCAAAAGCUAACUUGGCAAGCCCAAAGUCUGAAACCUUAGCUUCAAAAUUGUUAUCCAAAAGAAUGUUUGAUGAUUUAAUAUCCCUGUGAAUAACCCGAGGAUGACAGUCUUCAUGGAGAUA
rnacentral:misc_RNA from 1 species